UUAAGCGACUAAGCGUACACGGUGGAUGCCCUGGCAGUCAGAGGCGAUGAAGGACGUGCUAAUCUGCGAUAAGCGUCGGUGAGGUGAUAUGAACCGUUAUAACCGGCGAUUUCCGAAUGGGGAAACCCAGUGUGUUUCGACACACUAUCAUUAACUGAAUCCAUAGGUUAAUGAGGCGAACCGGGGGAACUGAAACAUCUAAGUACCCCGAGGAAAAGAAAUCAACCGAGAUUCCCCCAGUAGCGGCGAGCGAACGGGGAGGAGCCCAGAGCCUGAAUCAGUGUGUGUGUUAGUGGAAGCGUCUGGAAAGGCGUGCGAUACAGGGUGACAGCCCCGUACACAAAAAUGCACAUAUUGUGAGCUCGAUGAGUAGGGCGGGACACGUGGUAUCCUGUCUGAAUAUGGGGGGACCAUCCUCCAAGGCUAAAUACUCCUGACUGACCGAUAGUGAACCAGUACCGUGAGGGAAAGGCGAAAAGAACCCCGGCGAGGGGAGUGAAAAAGAACCUGAAACCGUGUACGUACAAGCAGUGGGAGCCUCUUAAUGGGGUGACUGCGUACCUUUUGUAUAAUGGGUCAGCGACUUAUAUUCUGUAGCAAGGUUAACCGAAUAGGGGAGCCGAAGGGAAACCGAGUCUUAACUGGGCGUUAAGUUGCAGGGUAUAGACCCGAAACCCGGUGAUCUAGCCAUGGGCAGGUUGAAGGUUGGGUAACACUAACUGGAGGACCGAACCGACUAAUGUUGAAAAAUUAGCGGAUGACUUGUGGCUGGGGGUGAAAGGCCAAUCAAACCGGGAGAUAGCUGGUUCUCCCCGAAAGCUAUUUAGGUAGCGCCUCGUGAAUUCAUCUCCGGGGGUAGAGCACUGUUUCGGCAAGGGGGUCAUCCCGACUUACCAACCCGAUGCAAACUGCGAAUACCGGAGAAUGUUAUCACGGGAGACACACGGCGGGUGCUAACGUCCGUCGUGAAGAGGGAAACAACCCAGACCGCCAGCUAAGGUCCCAAAGUCAUGGUUAAGUGGGAAACGAUGUGGGAAGGCCCAGACAGCCAGGAUGUUGGCUUAGAAGCAGCCAUCAUUUAAAGAAAGCGUAAUAGCUCACUGGUCGAGUCGGCCUGCGCGGAAGAUGUAACGGGGCUAAACCAUGCACCGAAGCUGCGGCAGCGACACUAUGUGUUGUUGGGUAGGGGAGCGUUCUGUAAGCCUGUGAAGGUGGCCUGUGAGGGUUGCUGGAGGUAUCAGAAGUGCGAAUGCUGACAUAAGUAACGAUAAAGCGGGUGAAAAGCCCGCUCGCCGGAAGACCAAGGGUUCCUGUCCAACGUUAAUCGGGGCAGGGUGAGUCGACCCCUAAGGCGAGGCCGAAAGGCGUAGUCGAUGGGAAACAGGUUAAUAUUCCUGUACUUGGUGUUACUGCGAAGGGGGGACGGAGAAGGCUAUGUUGGCCGGGCGACGGUUGUCCCGGUUUAAGCGUGUAGGCUGGUUUUCCAGGCAAAUCCGGAAAACCAAGGCUGAGGCGUGAUGACGAGGCACUACGGUGCUGAAGCGACAAAUGCCCUGCUUCCAGGAAAAGCCUCUAAGCAUCAGGUAACAUCAAAUCGUACCCAAAACCGACACAGGUGGUCAGGUAGAGAAUACCAAGGCGCUUGAGAGAACUCGGGUGAAGGAACUAGGCAAAAUGGUGCCGUAACUUCGGGAGAAGGCACGCUGAUAUGUAGGUGAAGCGACUUGCUCGUGGAGCUGAAAUCAGUCGAAGAUACCAGCUGGCUGCAACUGUUUAUUAAAAACACAGCACUGUGCAAACACGAAAGUGGACGUAUACGGUGUGACGCCUGCCCGGUGCCGGAAGGUUAAUUGAUGGGGUUAGCGGCAACGCGAAGCUCUUGAUCGAAGCCCCGGUAAACGGCGGCCGUAACUAUAACGGUCCUAAGGUAGCGAAAUUCCUUGUCGGGUAAGUUCCGACCUGCACGAAUGGCGUAAUGAUGGCCAGGCUGUCUCCACCCGAGACUCAGUGAAAUUGAACUCGCUGUGAAGAUGCAGUGUACCCGCGGCAAGACGGAAAGACCCCGUGAACCUUUACUAUAGCUUGACACUGAACAUUGAGCCUUGAUGUGUAGGAUAGGUGGGAGGCUUUGAAGUGUGGACGCCAGUCUGCAUGGAGCCGACCUUGAAAUACCACCCUUUAAUGUUUGAUGUUCUAACGUUGGCCCGUAAUCCGGGUUGCGGACAGUGUCUGGUGGGUAGUUUGACUGGGGCGGUCUCCUCCUAAAGAGUAACGGAGGAGCACGAAGGUUGGCUAAUCCUGGUCGGACAUCAGGAGGUUAGUGCAAUGGCAUAAGCCAGCUUGACUGCGAGCGUGACGGCGCGAGCAGGUGCGAAAGCAGGUCAUAGUGAUCCGGUGGUUCUGAAUGGAAGGGCCAUCGCUCAACGGAUAAAAGGUACUCCGGGGAUAACAGGCUGAUACCGCCCAAGAGUUCAUAUCGACGGCGGUGUUUGGCACCUCGAUGUCGGCUCAUCACAUCCUGGGGCUGAAGUAGGUCCCAAGGGUAUGGCUGUUCGCCAUUUAAAGUGGUACGCGAGCUGGGUUUAGAACGUCGUGAGACAGUUCGGUCCCUAUCUGCCGUGGGCGCUGGAGAACUGAGGGGGGCUGCUCCUAGUACGAGAGGACCGGAGUGGACGCAUCACUGGUGUUCGGGUUGUCAUGCCAAUGGCACUGCCCGGUAGCUAAAUGCGGAAGAGAUAAGUGCUGAAAGCAUCUAAGCACGAAACUUGCCCCGAGAUGAGUUCUCCCUGACUCCUUGGGAGUCCUGAAGGAACGUUGAAGACGACGACGUUGAUAGGCCGGGUGUGUAAGCGCAGCGAUGCGUUGAGCUAACCGGUACUAAUGAACCGUGAGGCUUAACCUU
rnacentral:rRNA from 2 species